rnacentral:tRNA from 1 species
GAGGGCAGAGCUCAGGGGUAGAGCGCAGGCUUAGUAUGCACGAGGUCCUGGGUUCAAUCCCCAGUACCUCUG